UACGGAGGGUGCAAGCGUUAUCCGGAUUCACUGGGUUUAAAGGGUGCGUAGGCGGGUACUUAAGUCAGUGGUGAAAUCUCCAGGCUCAACCUGGAAACUGCCAUUGAUACUAUUUAUCUUGAAUAUCGUUGAGGUAGGCGGAAUAUGUCAUGUAGCGGUGAAAUGCUUAGAGAUGACAUAGAACACCAAUUGCGAAGGCAGCUUACUAAACGAAGAUUGACGCUGAGGCACGAAAGCGUGGGGAUCAAACAGG
rnacentral:rRNA from 1 species